UACGUAGGGUCCGAGCGUUGUCCGGAAUUAUUGGGCGUAAAGGGCUCGUAGGCGGGUCUUUAAGUCAGGGGUGAAAUCCUGGAGCUCAACUCCAGAACUGCCUUUGAUACUGGCGAUCUUGAGUCCGGGAGAGGUGAGUGGAACUCCGAGUGUAGAGGUGAAAUUCGUAGAUAUUCGGAAGAACACCAGUGGCGAAGGCGGCUCACUGGCCCGGUACUGACGCUGAGGUGCGAAAGCGUGGGGAGCAAACAGG
rnacentral:rRNA from 1 species